AUACGAAGGGGGCUAGCGUUGUUCGGAAUUACUGGGCGUAAAGCGCGCGUAGGCGGAUUGGUCAGUUAGGGGUGAAAUCCCAGGGCUUAACCCUGGAACUGCCUCUAAUACUGCCAGUCUUGAGUUCGGGAGAGGUGAGUGGAAUUCCUAGUGUAGAGGUGAAAUUCGUAGAUAUUAGGAAGAACACCAGUGGCGAAGGCGGCUCACUGGCCCGAUACUGACGCUGAGGCGCGAAAGCGUGGGUAGCGAACAGGAUUAGAAACCCUAGUAGUCC
rnacentral:rRNA from 1 species